rnacentral:rRNA from 1 species
GACGAACGCUGGCGGCGUGCCUAAUACAUGCAAGUUGAGCGCUGAAGGCUGGUACUUGUACCAACUGGAUGAGCAGCGAACGGGUGAGUAACGCGUGGGGAAUCUGCCUUUGAGCGGGGGACAACAUUUGGUAACGAAUGCUAAUACCGCAUAAAAACUUUAAACACAAGUUUUAAGUUUGAAAGAUGCAAUUGCAUCACUCAAAGAUGAUCCCGCGUUGUAUUAGCUAGUUGGUGAGGUAAAGGCUCACAAAGGCGAUGUUACAUAGCCGACCUGAGAGGGUGAUCUGCCACAUUGGGACGGGGACACGGCCCAAACUCCUACGGGAGGCAGCAGUAGGGAAUCUUCGGCAAUGGACGAAAGUCUGACCGAGCAACGCCGCGUGAGUGAAGAAGGUUUUCGGAUCGUAAAACUCUGUUGGUAGAGAAGAACGUUGGUGAGAGUGGAAAGCUCAUCAAGUGACGGUAACUACACAGAAAGGGACGGCUAACUACGUG